AGGUGGUCGGGUAGAGAAUACCAAGGCGCUUGAGAGAACUCGGGUGAAGGAACUAGGCAAAAUGGUACCGUAACUUCGGGAGAAGGUACGCUCUCGACGGUGAAGUCCCUCGCGGAUGGAGCUAUUGAGAGUCGCAGAUACCAGGUGGCUGCAACUGUUUAUUAAAAACACAGCACUGUGCAAAAUCGCAAGAUGACGUAUACGGUGUGACGCCUGCCCGGUGCCGGAAGGUUAAUUGAUGGGGUUAGACUUCGGUCGAAGCUCUUGAUCGAAGCCCCGGUAAACGGCGGCCGUAACUAUAACGGUCCUAAGGUAGCGAAAUUCCUUGUCGGGUAAGUUCCGACCUGCACGAAUGGCGUAAUGAUGGCCACGCUGUCUCCACCCGAGACUCAGUGAAAUUGAAAUCGCUGUGAAGAUGCAGUGUACCCGCGGCUAGACGGAAAGACCCCGUGAACCUUUACUACAGCUUGGCACUGAACAUUGACCCUACAUGUGUAGGAUAGGUGGGAGGCUUUGAAGCGCAGUCGCUAGAUUGCGUGGAGCCGUCCUUGAAAUACCACCCUUGUAGUGUUGAUGUUCUAACGUCGACCCCUUAUCGGGGUUGCGGACAGUGCCUGGUGGGUAGUUUGACUGGGGCGGUCUCCUCCCAAAGCGUAACGGAGGAGCACGAAGGUGGGCUAAUCACGGUUGGACAUCGUGAGGUUAGUGCAAUGGCAUAAGCCCGCUUGACUGCGAGAAUGACAAUUCGAGCAGGUGCGAAAGCAGGUCAUAGUGAUCCGGUGGUUCUGAAUGGAAGGGCCAUCGCUCAACGGAUAAAAGGUACUCCGGGGAUAACAGGCUGAUACCGCCCAAGAGUUCAUAUCGACGGCGGUGUUUGGCACCUCGAUGUCGGCUCAUCACAUCCUGGGGCUGAAGUCGGUCCCAAGGGUAUGGCUGUUCGCCAUUUAAAGUGGUACGCGAGCUGGGUUUAGAACGUCGUGAGACAGUUCGGUCCCUAUCUGCCGUGGGCGUUGGAGAAUUGAAAGGGGCUGCUCCUAGUACGAGAGGACCGGAGUGGACGAACCUCUGGUGUUCGGGUUGUGUCGCCAGACGCAUUGCCCGGUAGCUAAGUUCGGGAUCGAUAACCGCUGAAAGCAUCUAAGCGGGAAGCGAGCCUUGAGAUGAGUUCUCCCUGAUACUUUAAGUAUCCUAAAGGGUUGUCGUAGACUACGACGUUGAUAGGCAGGGUGUGUAAGCGUUGUGAGGCGUUGAGCUAACCUGUACUAAUUGCCCGUGAGGCUUAACCAU
rnacentral:rRNA from 1 species